AUUGAACGCUGGCGGCAGGCUUAACACAUGCAAGUCGAGCGGAGCGAGGGUGCUUGCACCUUAGCUUAGCGGCGGACGGGUGAGUAAUGCUUAGGAAUCUGCCUAUUAGUGGGGGACAACAUUCCGAAAGGAAUGCUAAUACCGCAUACGCCCUACGGGGGAAAGCAGGGGAUCUUCGGACCUUGCGCUAAUAGAUGAGCCUAAGUCGGAUUAGCUAGUUGGUGGGGUAAAGGCCUACCAAGGCGACGAUCUGUAGCGGGUCUGAGAGGAUGAUCCGCCAAACUGGGACUGAAACACGGCCCAGACUCCUACGGGAGGCAGCAGUGGGGAAUAUUGGACAAUGGGCGGAAGCCUGAUCCAGCCAUGCCGCGCGUGUGAAGAAGGCCUUUUGGUUGUAAAGCACUUUAAGCGAGGAGGAGGCUCUUAAGGUUAAUACCCUUGAUGAGUGGACGUUACUCGCAGAAUAAGCACCGGCUAACUCUGUGCCAGCCGCCGCAGUAAAAC
rnacentral:rRNA from 1 species